rnacentral:rRNA from 1 species
UUUUUAAGAACCUCAAAUCAGGUGGGACUACCCGCUGAACUUAAGCAUAUCAAUAAGCGGAAGGAAAAGAAACUAACAAGGAUCCCUAUUACGGCAAUGAAGAAGGAAAAGCCAAAU